GAUGAACGCUGGCGGCGUGCCUAAUACAUGCAAGUCGAGCGAACAGAUGAGGAGCUUGCUCCUCUGACGUUAGCGGCGGACGGGUGAGUAACACGUGGAUAACCUACCUAUAAGACUGGGAUAACUUCGGGAAACCGGAGCUAAUACCGGAUAAUAUAUUGAACCGCAUGGUUCAAUAGUGAAAGACGGUUUUGCUGUCACUUAUAGAUGGAUCCGCGCCGCAUUAGCUAGUUGGUAAGGUAACGGCUUACCAAGGCAACGAUGCGUAGCCGACCUGAGAGGGUGAUCGGCCACACUGGAACUGAGACACGGUCCAGACUCCUAUGGGAGGCAGCAGUAGGGAAUCUUCCGCAAAGGGCGAAAGCCUGACGGAGCAACGCCGCGUGAGUGAUGAAGGUCUUCGGAUCGUAAAACUCUGUUAUUAGGGAAGAACAAAUGUGUAAGUAACUAUGCACGUCUUGACGGUACCUAAUCAGAAAGCCACGGCUAACUACGUG
rnacentral:rRNA from 1 species